AGAGUUUGAUCAUGGCUCAGAUUGAACGCUGGCGGCAGGCCUAACACAUGCAAGUCGAGCGGUAGCACAAGAGAGCUUGCUCUCUGGGUGACGAGCGGCGGACGGGUGAGUAAUGUCUGGGAAACUGCCUGAUGGAGGGGGAUAACUACUGGAAACGGUAGCUAAUACCGCAUAACGUCUUCGGACCAAAGUGGGGGACCUUCGGGCCUCACGCCAUCAGAUGUGCCCAGAUGGGAUUAGCUAGUAGGUGGGGUAAUGGCUCACCUAGGCGACGAUCCCUAGCUGGUCUGAGAGGAUGACCAGCCACACUGGAACUGAGACACGGUCCAGACUCCUACGGGAGGCAGCAGUGGGGAAUAUUGCACAAUGGGCGCAAGCCUGAUGCAGCCAUGCCGCGUGUGUGAAGAAGGCCUUCGGGUUGUAAAGCACUUUCAGCGAGGAGGAAGGGUAGUGUGUUAAUAGCACAUUGCAUUGACGUUACUCGCAGAAGAAGCACCGGCUAACUCCGUGCCAGCAGCCGCGGUAAUACGGAGGGUGCAAGCGUUAAUCGGAAUUACUGGGCGUAAAGCGCACGCAGGCGGUUUGUUAAGUCAGAUGUGAAAUCCCCGCGCUUAACGUGGGAACUGCAUUUGAAACUGGCAAGCUAGAGUCUUGUAGAGGGGGGUAGAAUUCCAGGUGUAGCGGUGAAAUGCGUAGAGAUCUGGAGGAAUACCGGUGGCGAAGGCGGCCCCCUGGACAAAGACUGACGCUCAGGUGCGAAAGCGUGGGGAGCAAACAGGAUUAGAUACCCCGGUAGU
rnacentral:rRNA from 1 species